rnacentral:rRNA from 1 species
CGCGGACAUUUGAUCCCCUCUGAACUGUGAUCCUGGAGUUGGCUAUUCGAGCUCGGCCAGCCGAGCUCAGCCUCCGCAGGCUCCCUCUGCUUCCCUGCCGCCCAAGCAUCGACCGCCGAAUGAGAAAGAACACGUGACAAUGACAUUUGACAUGGUCGAUCGGCUCGCGCUGGCGUGCCGGGGCCGCUGCAGCCGUCGGCCAUGUCUGCCACGGCGCCGGAGCCCAAGGGCGCGAACGCGGUGCCUGGGUCGAGCACGUACUCAGUGCUGCGUGCGCCGGCGAGACGGGCGCGCUCCGGGCGUCCCCCAUCUCCUCCUCCUCCUCCUCCUGGCAACUCCCUUCGUCAUUGCAAGUGGGACCACGCCGUCAGUGGCUGGCGAACCAUCAAACUCCCGGAUAAGAUUUCCAAGCCAAGGGAAAGGGAAAGAGCAGAGCGGAGGCGAUGGCCGCAACCUGCUCGCUCCGUUCCGUCGUCCGAGCUCCGCCGCCUCCGCGGGGCCUCGCCGGGGCCAGGAGGGCGGUGCGCUGCUGCAGCAGCGCCGCUCCCACCGGCGCCUCCACAUCAAAGCUCGUCCUGGAGGUCAAGGAGAGGCUCCAAAGGGAGCAUCCGGGCCUCCCGACGGGCAGGAGCGGCAGGGAUGACGACGAGAUGAUCCUCUGGUUCUUGAAGGACAGGAAGUUCGCUGUAGAUGAAGCCGUCCCCAAACUGGCCAAGGCCAUCAAAUGGCGUCAGGAUUUCCGCGUGUCGGAAUUAUCAGAAGAAUCAGUGAAAGGAUUGUACCAAACUGGCAAAGCAUAUGUGCAUGAUUCUUUUGACAUCAACGGCAGGCCUGUGCUAGUAGUAGUGGCAGCCAAACAUUUCCCUUCUAAACAAGACUCACUUGAAAAUGAGAAGCUAUGUGCCUUUUUGGUCGAAAAGGCUUUACGUAACCUUCCCAUGGGAACAGAUAAUAUACUUGGAAUUUUCGAUCUUCGAGGCUUUGGUGUAGAAAAUGGUGAUCUCCAAUUCUUAAAGUUUUUGAUCGAUGUGUUCUACUAUUACUAUCCCAAGCGGCUUGGCGAAGUUCUAUUUGUGGAUGCACCAUUUGUGUUUCAGCCAAUGUGGCAGCUUGUUAAACCUCUGCUGAAACAAUAUGCCUCCUUGGUAAGAUUUUGUGAUGCCGAGACCGUGAGAAAAGAGUACUUCACAGAAGAAACCGUGCCUCCCGAUUUCCGCCGUUAGGCGUCAUGGUUUCUGAAUCCUGAGCUGUCAUACUGUUAAUGGCUGGUGGCCAGAUUCUGUGGAAGGUCAGUUCAGUGCUGAUUUCCUCUGUUUCUCCCUUUCUUCGUCCUUCUGUCGGUUUAUUUUUCUCCAGCAGUAUAAACAAAUCCAGACAUGAACUGUGAGCUGGACCAUGAGUAAUGUGUGCCAAGGCCGAUUCGAUGGGGUCACAGUCUCACAGAUCAUAGAAUGCUAGCUGAUGUUACAGCGUUGCAACCAUGGUGGUGACGAGAGCUGUAAUCUUCAAUCACCGUUUGACCACUGGAACCGGCGGAACGUUGGACGCCAUAUGUGAAGGCAGGCCAUGGCCAUCCUUUGCUGGUGCCACCGUCGGAUGUCUCAUAAACUUUUCGCCCGCGGAUUUGUUUUCGGGAAAUGUUUGAAGGUUGGGUGUUGUGGCUGGACAACUAUCUUCUAGUACUAAGUUGUGGUUGGUGUAAAUAGUUUGAAGAUUUGUCAACGCGGAAUAAAUUUUUGUAACAAGUUUCUGGAAUAAAAUGGUUAUCUCAAUAAUACCGAGUUUGAAGGAUUUUCCCCUUUUUUGCGCUUUGAAACCCCAUGCAUUGAUUUUUGAGGUCACAUGUUUUUCAGGGGAAUGCGUUGAAACCCCAGGCAUUGUUGCAAGGCCAUGGCUAUGCACUCCAAAAACA